rnacentral:misc_RNA from 1 species
CAAAUGACCUGAAAAGGUCUAAGUAACCCACUUAAGGUCUGGUGAAAGCCGGGCCGCAAGUGACCACCCUUUGUGAAACUUCUUAUAUUGCUUCGGUAGCACCACUGCGGGCAACCGCGGUGGGUAAGGCUGCCAGAAGCCCACAGUUAAACCAGUUGAUUUUGAAUCAUGCUGUCUGACUAUUAUUUUUGAGAAAUCAAAUAAGUUA